rnacentral:lncRNA from 1 species
CAACCAAGCUCAGAACAAGACACUGACAGGACCUGUCUGCAAAUAGCCAAAGUGACUAGGUAGGCUAUUCGUGGCAUUUACUGAGGUUUGCCACCUGCAAAGCUGAAGUCUGUAACUAAUGAAAUAUCAGGCAACAUGCAUCCUCUAUCCCAUUGAUGGUGUCCUGCAGGGCACAAAUGGGAUGAGGCUUGCAAAAUGCUCAUCAAGAUUGGCACAUAUUAAACACUUGACAAAUCGCAGCACCCAUGCGUCUUCAAAGAGCUGGUCCAGAUGACGUCCUUUGAAAUAAGACAGAAUAAAUUUAGACUCCUUUCUGCAUAAGCAUUAUUGAGAUAUGGGAAAGCAGGUGUCAUGUCUUCCUUAGCUCAUUUUUAUAUUCCUUCAAAUCUCUCUCAUAAAAUAAAUUUUCUGGUGAUUUAUUUGGUCAACGUCUCAUAAGUACUUUCUACCCAAUAUGCUCAUGUCUACACUAUUCUAUGCAUCUUUCAAUUCGCUCUAAAAUGAUUUUAAUUCUAGGAUUAUUAAUGCACCCCAGUCAUAGAUACAAGCUGGUAAAAAUUUAAACCAAUUUGCUUAUGUUUAUCAGGAUUUAAACCUAAGCUCACUUCCUAAAUAAGCUAAAUCAACUGUUUCAAAUGUGAUUGGAAACUAUAAAAGUUAUACUGAAACCAUUUAAGUUACCUGUCUUUAUCAAGUAUGGUCCUGAUAGUAAAGUGUGAACCUGAAACAUUAUUAAAUGAAGGAUAGAGAACAGAGACCUUGGCUCUUCACUAAAAGCCUCUCGGAAGAUUGAUAUUGAUUCACUUCUAGACAAAAUCUUUAGAGAAUUUGGCUACCUUAAAACUACGAUCUGCAUUAAAAUAUGUAAUAUGUGUAUAAUUCUGUUCAUUCACCACUGGUGUCAAAGAGAAAUGAAUUUAUUCUGCAAUGACAUUUAAAAACAUAAUCUGGACUCCAAAGGUCAUGUUGUUCUAUCAUUUCCAUCAUAUUAUAAAUGUGGUGAAUAAAUUUGUGAUUAUCCAUUUAAAAAUUUUAUUUAUUUCAAAUUCUGACUCGGG